AGUGAACGCUGGCGGUAGGCCUAACACAUGCAAGUCGAACGGCAGCACAGUAAGAGCUUGCUCUUACGGGUGGCGAGUGGCGGACGGGUGAGGAAUACAUCGGAAUCUACUUUUUCGUGGGGGAUAACGUAGGGAAACUUACGCUAAUACCGCAUACGACCUACGGGUGAAAGCAGGGGAUCUUCGGACCUUGCGCGAUUGAAUGAGCCGAUGUCGGAUUAGCUAGUUGGCGGGGUAAAGGCCCACCAAGGCGACGAUCCGUAGCUGGUCUGAGAGGAUGAUCAGCCACACUGGAACUGAGACACGGUCCAGACUCCUACGGGAGGCAGCAGUGGGGAAUAUUCGACAAUGGGCGCAAGCCUGAUCCAGCAAUACCGCGUGGGUGAAGAAGGCCUUCGGGUUGUAAAGCCCUUUUGUUGGGAAAGAAAAGCAGCAGGUUAAUCCCCCGCUGUUCUGACGGUACCCAAAGAAUAAGCACCGGCUAACUUCGUG
rnacentral:rRNA from 1 species